rnacentral:rRNA from 1 species
GCCAAUCAGCUAGCUCACAAAACCUCAGUAACCAAAACAACAGUGUAAACACCCCCACACAAACCAAACAACCAAAAACUAAAUCAUUCAACCACCCCAGUACGGGCGACGAAAAAGGACACACCGAAGCCAUAGACAUAGUACCGCAAGGGAACGCUGAAAAAGAACUGAAAAAACUCACUCAAGCAUAAAAAAGCAGAGACUAAAACUCGUACCUUUUGCAUCAUGAUCUAGCCAGUACACCCCAAGCAAAGAGAACUCUAGUUUGAAACCCCGAAACCUUUUAACGAGCUACCCCAAGGCCGUCCCAAAACAGGACAAACCCGUCUCUGUGGCAAAAGAGUGGGAAGACCUUCAGGUAGAGGUGAAAAGCCUACCGAGUCAGGUUAUAGCUGGUUGCCCAAAAAAUGAAUAAUAGUUCAGCCCCAUAACUUCACCCACGCCAACCACACCACAACAGGCAAAGGGCCACACAUGGUAGUUAGUUAAGGGGGGUACAGCCCCCUAAACAAAGGACACAACCUCAAACAGGAGGCUAAGGAAUAUACUACACAACAAGGCUUAAAGUUUCAGUAGGCCUAAAAGCAGCCACCUAAAAAGAAAGCGUUAAAGCUUAAACCUAACCAAGCCUAACAUCACAUUAAACCCUCCAACGCCCCUUCACAAUAUUGAGCCAUUUUAUGCCACCAUAAAAGAGACCAUGCUAGAACAAGUAAUAAGAAGAAUGAACUUCUCCCCGCACACGUGUAAGUCGAACCGGACAAACCACCGACAAUUAACGAACCCAAAAACAGAGGGCCCAACACAACCACCACUAAAAUCAAGAAAACCACGUCUCCCCUGAUCGUUACCCCUACACAGGUGUGCACCCACCCGAAGGAAAGGCCUAAAGGACAAAAAGGAACUCGGCAAACCAAAACCCCGCCUGUUUACCAAAAACAUCGCCUCCUGCCACCAACCGUAUAGGAGGUCCCGCCUGCCCCGUGACUUACGUUUAACGGCCGCGGUAUUCUAACCGUGCAAAGGUAGCGCAAUCAAUUGUCUUUUAAAUGAAGACCUGUAUGAAUGGCAUAACGAGGGUUUAACUGUCUCUUUUUCCUGGCCAAUGAAACUGAUCUGCCCGUGCAGAAGCGGGCAUAAAAAUACAAGACGAGAAGACCCUGUGGAGCUUCAGACACUAACCAACCAUAACAACAACGAACUGACAACAGACCGAAAAAACUAAUGGUCCUGGUAAAAUGUCUUCGGUUGGGGCGACCGCGGUGAGAAAACAAAGCUCCCGAGUGGACUGGGACCCCCUCCUAAAACCUAGAGCCACACCUCAAAGUCUCAAAACAUUUGACCAAUAAUGAUCCGAUAUCUCGAUCAACGAACAAAGUUACCCCAGGGAUAACAGCGCAAUCCCCUCACAGAGCCCAUAUCGACGAGGGGGUUUACGACCUCGAUGUUGGAUCAGGACAUCCCAAUGGUGCAGCCGCUAUUAAAGGUUCGUUUGUUCAACGAUUAAAGUCCUACGUGAUCUGAGUUCAGACCGGAGAAAUCCAGGUCGGUUUCUAUCUGUAACGCUACCCCUCCUAGUACGAAAGGACCGGAGCGAUGGGGCCCAUACCAAAAGCACGCCUCACCCCAACCUGAUGAAAACAUAUAAAACAGACAAAGGGGGCAACCCCCAGCCCAAAAAAAGGGCCG